rnacentral:rRNA from 1 species
AUUGAACGCUGGCGGCAUGCCUUACACAUGCAAGUCGAACGGUAACAGGUCUUCGGAUGCUGACGAGUGGCGAACGGGUGAGUAAUACAUCGGAACGUGCCCGAUCGUGGGGGAUAACGGAGCGAAAGCUUUGCUAAUACCGCAUACGAUCUACGGAUGAAAGCAGGGGACCGCAAGGCCUUGCGCGGACGGAGCGGCCGAUGGCAGAUUAGGUAGUUGGUGGGAUAAAAGCUUACCAAGCCGACGAUCUGUAGCUGGUCUGAGAGGACGACCAGCCACACUGGGACUGAGACACGGCCCAGACUCCUACGGGAGGCAGCAGUGGGGAAUUUUGGACAAUGGGCGAAAGCCUGAUCCAGCCAUGCCGCGUGCAGGAUGAAGGCCUUCGGGUUGUAAACUGCUUUUGUACGGAACGAAAAGACUCCUUCUAAUAAAGGGGGUUCAUGACGGUACCGUAAGAAUAAGCACCGGCUAACUACGUG